GCUUCUCUGAUGUUAGCGGCGGACGGGUGAGUAACACGUGGAUAACCUACCUAUAAGACUGGGAUAACUUCGGGAAACCGGAGCUAAUACCGGAUAAUAUUUUGAACCGCAUGGUUCAAAAGUGAAAGACGGUCUUGCUGUCACUUAUAGAUGGAUCCGCGCUGCAUUAGCUAGUUGGUAAGGUAACGGCUUACCAAGGCAACGAUGCAUAGCCGACCUGAGAGGGUGAUCGGCCACACUGGAACUGAGACACGGUCCAGACUCCUACGGGAGGCAGCAGUAGGGAAUCUUCCGCAAUGGGCGAAAGCCUGACGGAGCAACGCCGCGUGAGUGAUGAAGGUCUUCGGAUCGUAAAACUCUGUUAUUAGGGAAGAACAUAUGUGUAAGUAACUGUGCACAUCUUGACGGUACCUAAUCAGAAAGCCACGGCUAACUACGCGCCAGCAGCCGCGGUAAUACGUAGGUGGCAAGCGUUAUCCGGAGUUAUUGGGCGUAAAGCGCGCGUAGGCGGUUUUUUAAGUCUGAUGUGAAAGCCCACGGCUCAACCGUGGAGGGUCAUUGGAAACUGGAAAACUUGAGUGCAGAAGAGGAAAGUGGAAUUCCAUGUGUAGCGGUGAGAUGCGCAGAGAUAUGGAGGAACACCAGUGGCGAAGGCGACUUUCUGGUCUGUAACUGUCGCUGAUGUGCGAAAGCGUGGGGAUCAAACAGGAUUAGAUACCCUGGUAGUCCACGCCGUAAACGAUGAGUGCUAAGUGUUAGGGGGUUUCCGCCCC
rnacentral:rRNA from 1 species